GAUGAACGCUAGCGGCAGGCUUAACACAUGCAAGUCGAGGGGUAGAAGUUGCUUGCAACUUUGAGACCGGCGCACGGGUGCGUAACGCGUAUGCAAUCUACCUUAUACAGAGGGAUAGCCCAGAGCAAUUUGGAUUAAUACCUCAUAGUAUAAUUGAAUGGCAUCAUUUAAUUAUUAAAGUUCCAACGGUAUAAGAUGAGCAUGCGUCCUAUUAGCUAGAUGGUAAGGUAACGGCUUACCAUGGCAACGAUAGGUAGGGGUCCUGAGAGGGAGAUCCCCCACACUGGUACUGAGACACGGACAAGACUCCUACGGGAGGCAGCAGUGAGGAAUAUUGGACAAUGGGCGCAAGCCUGAUCCAGCCAUGCCGCGUGCAGGAAGAAGCAUCUAUGGUGUGUAAACUGCUUUUGUACGGGAAGAAACACUCCUUCGUGAAGGAGCUUGACGGUACCGUAAGAAUAAGGAUCGGCUAACUCCGUGCCAGCAGCCGCCGUAACAC
rnacentral:rRNA from 1 species